CUGCCCUGCUGCUCCGGCACAGCAGGCACAGCCAGGGCAUCUGCUUUGCCUUCAUGUCCACCAGCAGAUGCUUGGCCAGCAGUUGAAAAUUACCAGCUGCCUCCUGCUUAGCAGCCAUUGGCAGGGAGCAUUCCCACUCCCAGAUAGUUUUCUUUUUCUGAUGUUUGGCCUGCUGUGCCCCAGAGAUGUAAACUGCGAUGGGACUUUGCCUGGGAGAAAGACAUCAGCGUUGUGCAGAGUGGAGCACAGAAAUGUCCUUAUGCAGAUUUCUGACAGGGUCAGAGUGGAAUUUCUAAUUCCUGCAGCAGUGAAAUAAGCAGGGUAAUCUUGCAGAAGGGCAGAGCAUCAGUUCUGCUCAGGUUUGCUGUGUGUUGGGAGCUUCUCCUCGGUCAUCCAUAGAAGAUAUGAAGCAUCCUGCCUUCUCUCCCACUGUGACAAGAGCCGUGCCCCGAGAGCUGUAGAUGGAAAUGUAGUUCAAACCACAGCAUGACCGUCCAUUCGUCUGCUUAUUUGUGAAAGCUGUUGGUGAGGCAGUGGGAGGUGUGGGACUGAGGAUGGAGCAGGGAGAGCCAUGAGAGCAGCAGGAGACAGCGCUGGGAGCAUCAGAUGGGUUCUUCACUGAGAGGAGAGGAAACAUUCACUCCAUGGUCCUCUGGUGUCUGUGACUUUGUUCAGUGUUGCUCUCCUGCGUUAUAGAGUUCUACUCGUCAGUAACUUCCAUCACUGCAGACCCAAACACUUGCAAAGAAC
ensembl:lncRNA